rnacentral:rRNA from 1 species
UAAUACUCCAUAGUUCGUUAUUACUGGAAUGUUUUUCGAACGAAAGAUCCGUCGCUUCAGGAUGAGUCUGCGGCCGAUUAGGUAGUUGUUGGGGUAAUUGCCCAACAAGCCUGUAAUCGGUACGGGUUGUGGGAGCAAGAGCCCGGAGAUGGAUUCUGAGACACGAAUCCAGGCCCUACGGGGCGCAGCAGGCGCGAAAACUUUACCAUGCGGGCAACCGUGAUAAGGAAACCCCGAGUGCCAGCACAGGCUGGCUGUCCGCCAGUUUAAACAACUGGCGAAGAAAGGGCCGGGCAAGACCGGUGCCAGCCGCCGCGGUAAUACCGGCGGCUCGAGUGGUGGCCGCUAUUACUGGGCUUAAAGGGUCCGUAGCUUGAUAAUAGGGUCCCUUGAGAAAUCCGCCGGCUUAACUGGCGGGCGUUCAGGGGAAACUUGUUUUCUAGGGACCGGGAGAGGUGAGGGGUACUGCCGGGGUAGGAGUGAAAUCCUGUAAUCCCGGUGGGACCACCUAUGGCGAGGGCAUCUCACCAGAACGGGUCCGACAGUGAGGGACGAAAGCUGGGGGAGCAAACCGGAUUAGAUACCCGGGUAGUCCCAGCUGUAAACUAUGUGCGUUAGGUGUGU